rnacentral:rRNA from 1 species
GACAGCAGCCGCCGCGGUAAAACGGAGGGUGCAAGCGUUAAUCGGAAUUACUGGGCGUAAAGCGCACGCAGGCGGUCUGACAAGUCAGAUGUGAAAUCCCCGGGCUUAACCUGGGAACUGCAUUUGAAACUGUCAGGCUGGAGUCUUGUAGAGGGGGGUGGAAUUCCAGGUGUAGCGGUGAAAUGCGUAGAGAUCUGGAGGAAUACCGGUGGCGAAGGCGGCCCCCUGGACAAAGACUGACGCUCAGGUGCGAAAGCGUGGGGAGCAAACAGGAUUAGAUACCCCAGUAGUCCCUGUCUCUUAUAC